UGCAGCCGCUCCCUGCUACGCCCGCGCUUCUUCUCUUUCUCGCGUUACGUUGUCUCUUUCCAUCCGCCGCACGACCGUCCGGUAUCGCGUAGUUUCCGUCUCGUUCGUUUCCUCACCGCGUCUCGUUCGCUCCUUUGCGCACACACGCCCGCUGUACAUACGCACGACGCGUUUUACUUUUCGAACCCGGACCGGCCGAGCAGCCCCGCGCGAAUAUAAUUCGAGGUGGCCUGUUUGUGUGUGUGUGUGUGUGUGCACAUGUACAUUUCGCGAUACGCAGCCCAGGCGAAUUUAGCGAGGAAUCAUACGAAGGUGACGCCAGAAGUCGUGCCUCUCUCGUAUUUGUUUCAUAUUCGGAAAUUGCACGCGCAAAUUACUAAUUCAAAUUAGUAGUAGAGAUUUUCUUUGGACAAUGUCGACGAGACUCGGACACGCAGCCUUCGACAGUUAUUAUUUAUCUAUAGUUACGACCGAGAGAUAUUUACACGCAGAAGAGUUCAGCUCGUCGUCCCGGUAUACGCACGACGAAAUCCGUGGACCAUGUUUCUAGCUCUCGGAUUCUAAGCAGCAAGUCGACGAACCAAGCGGUUAAACCC